UCGGGAAUUUUGGGCAAUGGGCGAAAGCCUGACCCAGCAACGCCGCGUGAGGGAUGAAGUAUUUCGGUAUGUAAACCUCGAAAGAAUGGGAAGAAUAAAUGACGGUACCAUUUAUAAGCUCCGGCUAACUACGUGCCAGCAGCCGCGGUAAUACGUAGGGAGCAAGCGUUGUUCGGAUUUACUGGGCGUAAAGGGCGCGUAGGCGGCGCGGUAAGCCACUUGUGAAAUCUCUGAGCUUAACUCAGAACGGCCAAGUGAUACUGCUGUGCUAGAGUGCGGAAGAGGCAACCGGAAUUCUUGGUGUAGCGGUGAAAUGCGUAGAUAUCAAGAGGAACACCUGAGGCGAAGGCGGGUUGCUGGGCCGACACUGACGCUGAUGCGCGAAAGCCAGGGGAGCAAACG
rnacentral:rRNA from 1 species